rnacentral:misc_RNA from 1 species
UGUCGGAUUAAUGAUAAUUUGGCGUUGUUAUAAUAUAUAGAAAUGGUAUCUUAAACGAAAAUAAAUAAGAUUUAUCCUAAAGAAAAUUGAAACACAAUAUACGUAGCAUACGGUCACGAACGAGAAUAUUGGCACACUGUUAAAGGGUGAAUAACUUUUUUUAAAUUGGAUUAAACGAUUUGAGCCUUUUUGAGAAGUGAGGAGGAUUAGUUUAUCAGAUGAUGUGGAAAAAGAUCUUUGAAAAAAUUGCAGUUGAUCGGAAUCGCAAAGGAAAUAGUGAAGGCUGUAUGGAGGAGUUCAACAGCUGCGAUGAUGGAAAUUUGGAGAAUGGGAAUGUAAGUUUGGAGGAGAUUACAAAAGACAUAUUUAAGACAUAUUUAACGUCAUGGUGAAGAGUAUAAUGAAAUAUGGGGGACAGAAGAAAAAAGAGAAAUAGAAGCAGUACAAGAAAGGUAUCUAAGAGCAGUAUUAGUGACUGGAGAGGUGCACACCUACAGUAGGAUAUUUAGACAAGAAACGAAGACGGAGAAAAUACUUCUGGGGUCAGGAGAAAGGUACAUAAAAUAUGGAGAUAUGAAGAAGAGAUUAGAAGAUCAGAAAACUCACUACUUGAGGAGUGCAGAAGGGUCAUUGAUAGGGAAAAAUGAAAUAACAUGAGCCAUAGAAUAGCAAGAGAGAGAUUUAAAGGAAAAUAGGAACGAGCAGAUGGGAAAUGGAAAACAGAAAUAAUCUUUCGUUUAUUACAUAUACAUUAUUACAAGAUUUAGACGUUUCUCCAACUGCAAUCAAUUACCAAACUUAAUGGGACAAGUAAUCCGUCCAGUUUAUUAAUUUCAGCAUUUGCCGCAGCGAGCGUUGCACAAUUUGAUAAGUAGAAGAUAAGAAACGUCAAAGA